rnacentral:lncRNA from 1 species
UCUCUUGCUUACAUCCCUAUAAAAUCCUCUCUACACCAAUUUUCAUAUUUCAUCUAAAGAGUGCAAAAAAAAAAAAUUCUUUACUAUCAUUAACCAUGCACAAGAAAAAUUCUCUAGUUAUCUUUCUUAUUUGCAUUUUCCUACUUGUUAACUUAUAUUUAGCAAGUGAGAAUUCCGAGAGUGAGAAUCCUGAUUCGUUCGAUGAAAUUGACACUGAAUCUAAUAUGGAACUAGAUUGGUGGUUUCCAUGGUAUCGUCAUCGGUGGUUCCAUCCACGUCCAUGGCCAUUUGUUCAUCCACCAAUGCCUUCUGGUGGCUUCCGUCACAAGUUUCCUUAUCAUCCAUGGCCGAAAUUCAAGCAUCCACCAAUGUCGUCAUUAGUUCCGUUUCCACCUAUUGGAGAGAGGACUUAAUUAAAUAUAUUUACUAACGAAAUGAUUGGUCAAUAUUUUAUUGAUCACAUAUUUGCAAUCUAAUCUUUAGGUUAAUUAAUAUCUUUAAGAUUGAUAGUUCUAGAUUAGUUGAUUUCGUUUCUAUUAAUUUUUGAGGUAUUUUCGAUCGUUGGAAUAUUAUUUGAUAUUUCACUUAUCGUGAUAUAAAGUUUAAUGUUUUUUAUGAAUUGUUUUCCUUAAUCUAUUAUUGUGUAUUAAUAUGUUCAUCUUUGUGCAUAAAGAAGUUUAAAACGCUCAUAAUAUUAUGUUUGAGUAACAUGCCAAAAACAAUUUAUGUGACAUUGUGUUCUUAUUAAUUUAUUUAAAAGAAUAACAUUUUUUUAUUAUAAAAAUAGUUUAACUUUUAAAAAGUGAUCACUCAAAAAUGUGUAAAAACUAAGUUUUUGAUGUUGUAAAUUUUCUUUGCUAGAAACGAUUGUGUGUAUGUUUGUGCAAAUGAAAUAUAUAGGAGCAAACUAAAAACUUUUAACAUCAAAAUUUCAUAAAGGAAACAAACAUGAAUUAGCUAUGAAAUUCGUGUCAAACGUGUAUAUAGAUUCAAAUGUCUUAAUUUUAGUGAAAACAAACGAGACCUUACUUAUCUAAAAAAAAUCAAGGAUGUAAUUCACAUAUUUUGAGACUUUAAGGACCAAACCAAACAUUUUGAGAGGAUUUAAGGACCAAACCAAACAUUUUGAGAGGAAAUAUUUUUCAUGGCAUCAAAUAUCCCCCUAAGACUUUUUGAAAAUGGUCAAAUAUUAAAUAAAGUGUAUCCUCCAAAGAAUACCCCAAAAAGAUCAUUGAUAUUAUUUUUUUGUUAGUCUGUUUGUAAUAGGAAUGAUCUUUUUAAUUUAAAAUUAAUUAAAUUGUGAAUUUACCCCCGAAAAAUCUGUCUAAUACACAUUUUAUAUAUAUCCUUGUCGUCUAAUAAACAUUAAGUUGUAUGUAUAUUCUUUUCGUCUCGUAAAAGAAUGUAUAUUAACCUUUCAGUAAAGGGCAGAAUUAAAUAGAUAGGCAUGCUAUUAAGAUAUUAAGAUAUACAAUCCAACGAUUGAUCGAAUGGAUAAGUCAACAUGAAUUUACUGUGCGAGGAGUGUGUUAUGACUGGUGGCAGUCUUCCUAGUAAGGGGUGGCUCCUCCAUUGUGGGUAAAUAAAAAAUCUGACUCUACAAAUUUGAGGAAACGUUGCAUAAUACUAGGGGUGUCAUGACAGAAGCUUUUUAUAACUCGAGGAAACGUUGCAUCAUACUAGAAGUGUCAUGACAGAAGUUUUUUAACUCGAGGAAACAUUGCACAACACUAAUAGGGGUGUCAUGACAGAAGCUUUUUAUAAUCGAGGAAACGUUGCACAAUACUAGUAGGGUGUCAUGACAGAAGCUUUUUAUAACUCGAUGAAAUGUUGCACAACACUAGUAGGGGUGUCAUGACAGAAGCUUUUAAUAAUACUGACAGAAAUGCAAGUGAAUGAGUCUCAUCCCCUAACGAAUAAUUCUAAAAAUUACCUCACUGAUUUUCUUUAUCCGUCUAGACUCAAUCCAAAUGAAAAAGAUUUUUUGGUAGAAAAAUCAACAUGUAUUCUAACUAUAAUUAACUUAAUUAACAUAUUUAACUACUCGUAAACGUUAUGUGCCGUGACUAAGUUAAAAAUUUUGUCAAGAAUAUUCAAGAUUUAAUAUAUACGUACGAAAAUUUUUGAAGUAUAUUUCGUAUAAUUUUCUAUGUAUAUAAUUAUAAUUUUUUGAUAAAGAAUGUUUCACUAUACAUCCUUCGCUGCAUGUGACUAUAGGCCCACUCGUUAUGAGCUUAUACUCAAAAUAUUCUUUCAAUUUCACAUUCCAAAAUAAUUACGUACUUGAUUAAACUUUUAACUAGAUCUCGUUUACCCUCAUAAACAAUUGAUAAUCUCUACUGAUCAUUUCACUUAUCUUCUUGAUAAUUACACUUAAUUUUAAGUAUCCAAUUUGUAUACAAACUUCACUUAGGAUAAACAUUAAUGAAGAAAAUCAAAUAGUUGAUAAACUUAAAAAUUCUCCUAAGCCAAAUGAAUCUCUUGCUUGACAACCCUAUAAAAUCUCACUACAUCAACCUUCAUAUUUCAUCUCAAGAAUUCCAACAAAAAAUAAAAAACUUACUAUUAGCUAUGGCCAAGAAAAAUUCCCUUGUUACCUUUCUCAUAUGCAUUUUCCUACUUGUUAACUUAUGUUUAGCAAGUGGUGAAAACCCUGAUUCAUUCUCAAACGAUGAAAUUGAUGCCGAAGAAUCUAAUAUGGAACUAGAUUGGUGGUUUCCAUGGUAUUAUCGUCGAUGGUUCCAUCCACGACCAUGGGCAUUUGCUCAUCCACCCAUGUCCGCUGGUGGUUUCUGCCACAAGUUUCCUUCUCAUCCAUGGUUCAAGCAUCCACCACGUGCGUCUCCAUCUUCAAAGUCUGAAAUUGGCACUACUGAAGGUGAAAUUGCCACAACAGAAGCCGCUACUGAUAAGGAACUAGAUUGGUGGUAUCGACGAUCAUGGUUUCACCAUCCAUGGUUACGUGCACGUUCAUGGCCAUUUGUUCAUCCUCCAAUGCCUGCUGGCGGUUUUCGUCAUAAGUUUCCAUAUCAUUCCUGGUGGUCGUUCAUGCAUCCACCACGUCCGUCUCCAUCUAAAGGAGAGAAGAAAAAUUAAGAAUAUCUAUGGAUCAACAUCUUAUUGAUCAUAUAUUUGUGAUCUAUAGCUUAAUUAAUAUCUUUAAGAUUCUUAGUUCUAGACUAGUUAAUUUAGUUUUUAUUAAUUUGUCAAGUAGUUUUUGUUUUUAGGAAUAUUGUUUGAUUAUGCAUUAUCGUGAAAUAAAAUUUGAGUUAUUUAUAUGAAGUUUUUCACUUUCUAAUUAUAUCGUAUUUGCAUGCUUGUUUUUCUUUUGUGUGUAAAGAAACUCUUCCAUUGAAAACGAUCUUUAAUAUUUAAAGAAUCAAGUUCAAGUACCAAGGAGUACGACUCAGAAAAAGACGAGAGGUCUCUGGUAGCUGAAAUGCGACGUUUAAAAUCUCUCGUGUUAACACAUUCCCUUUCGGGGGUAAACGUUCAUUCCCGCAUCACCGGAUUGCAAGGCCGAAGAAGCAGCUCCUUUCUUCCUUAAAUACAACUUGAUAUAUAACUAAUUAGUAUGAAUUUUUUCAAUCAAAAAAUCCUUUUCAUCGGAUAGUCUUUAGUUCUUGGUAACCAAACAAGACAUAUAGUAGUACUGAUAAUCUUCAUAUUCAUAUAUGAUUUUAUGUUCCCCAUAGCUUCAUUAUAACUAAAAUAACCUAGAAGGAAAAAUUUAAGGAAUAUUUUUAUUAUUUUACCCUUUAGCAAUAUUAAAAAGAAAAAGGAAAAAUAUAAGAUAAAUAAAAAAUUCUUGUUAAUAACAUAAGAAAAAAAAAAUGAAAUUUUGUAUAAAGACAGAGAAAAAAAAUCGUUCGGUGAUUUAUUUUCAUCUGCCUAGCUAAUUCUUGAUGAACGGAGGUAGGUGAAAUCAGAUAUAACGUAGUUUAAUUCAGCUGAAUUCAAUAUUUUUUAACCAGAAGUACUAAUAGAUAUAGAUAUGUAUGCAGAAAAUCAUGAAAGCUUUAAUAAAUAUUAUAUAUGUUUUGAAUCUGUAAUUGUAAGAAAGUGUUCAAUUGGGACAACAUAACGAUUGAAAUCAAGUUUAAAUUUUGAAUAUGACUUUGCUUAAGUGAAUGACAUUGUUGGAACAAAAAAAAGAUAAGUGACUUUAGUAGGACGAUUUCCUAAGUUGAGUGAUAAUAUGAGGAAUUGACUCGUUCAUGAAUAUAAAAUGUUAAACGGCAGAAAAAUUUACUCGUAUCUUACACAAUGUCAAUGAAUAUGUCGCUGGGGUGUGGGCGACUUACAAGUCGGUGUCACGUCGGCGACUUACAAGUCGUUGUCACCUCAGCGACUUUGCGAGUCACUGGGUCCCCCAUGACUUGUCCGAUUUUUUAAAAAAAAUAAAAAAAUUAGUUGUUUCCUUUGGUAAUUUUAUUAAAAAAAUAGUCGUUUUGGCUCCGAAUUCCUCACAAUGUUAUGUUUGAAUCUUUGAUAGGAAAAAGAGUUUUCCAACAUACCAAAACAAAUAUUUAAGGUGUAUAUAUAUAUUAUUGGAGAAAGGUUUUAUGUUGUAAAUUUCUUUGCUAAAAAAAUGUCAAUCAUGUGUUUGUGCCAAAUGAAAUAGAAGCAAACUAAAAUUUUUAGCAUUAAAAUUUCAUAAGGAAGCAAUUCAACAUGAAUUAGUCAUAGUAUUUGUCCUUAAUUUAUUGCUAAAUAGCUUUUAUUAAUAACUUUUUUUUUUGCUAAUGCACCACCAACAAAAAGACAAUAAAUGCCAUCCUCAUUAUAACUUUCUAGUAAAAAUUAAUCUUCUUGUAGAAAGUGAUCAACGCCCCCAAAAAUAAUAAUAAUGUUCUACUUGCUAGUAUAUAUUAUCAAAGUUGGCAAGUCAUACUAUAAAAUAAAAAAUUAAAAAAAAUACCGAAAUCAAGGAAGAAGCAAAUCGUUUCUUUAUACACCCGUCGUUCAUUUUUACUUAUAGUUAUAAUCCAAUAUUAAUUACAGUACAAAGUAUGGAGACAUUUAUCUUUAUAAUGUGUGGGACAACUAGUAUGCAUUUUUAUUAUUUUACCAAAUAAUUACUUUUUUAUUGUAAUUUAUGUAAAGAUAUUUAACUAAGCGUGAAUUUUAAGGAAAAAAUAAAGAUUUUUGAACUCUAAAAUGUACCAUAAGUUUUUUUGCGACUACAGAUCAUUCAUUUAGAGGAAAAAAUAAAAAAAAUUAAUUAAACAAUUACUUAUUAAAUAUAAAAAUAUCAAUGCACUCAAUCAACUUAAAUGUCAAUACACCUUAUCAACUUUUUAUUUCAAUGGGUGUUUUUAUACAUUAUAUAUCUAUUUUCGUAUAUUUUUUUUUACAUAAUUUUAUCUAUUUCGCGUUGAGUUUAAUGGGUGUCGGAGCACUCAAAAAUUUUGUUGAGGGUGUUCAAAAUUUAAUAUAUACAUAUGAAAAUUACUUUUGAUUUUUGAACUAUAUUUUGUGUAAUAUUCUAUGUAUAUAAUUAUAAUUUUUUGAUGAAGAGUGUUAGACUAUCCAUCCUUCCUUUUUUUAUGAAAAUAUUUUUGCAAUUUCACGUCCCAAAAAUAAUUACGUACUUGAUUAAAAUUUUAACUAGAUCUUGUUUAUCCUCAUAAAUAAUUGAAAAUCUCUAUUGAUCUUUCACUUAUCUUCUUGAUAAUUACACUUAAUUUUAUGAAUUUAAUUUGUAUAUAAACAUCACUUAUGAUAAGCAUGAAUGAAAGAAAAUCAAAUAGUUGAUAAACUUAAAAAUUCUCCUAAUCCAAAUGAAUCUCUUGCUUGACAACCCUAUAAAAUCCUCACUACAUCAACCUCAAAAGUUCCAAGAAGAAAAACUUACUGGCUAAGAAAAAUGGCCUUGUUACCUUUCUCAUUUGCAUUUUUCUACUUGUUAACUUAUGUUUACCAAGGAGUAAAAACCCUGAUUCAUUCUCAAAUGAUGAAAUUAAUACUGCAGAAACAAAUAUGGAACUAGAUUGGUGAUUUCGAUGGUAUCGUUAUCGAUGGUUCCAUCCAUGACCAUGGGCAUUUGCUCAUCCACCCAUGUCUUUUGGCAGUUUCCGUCACAAGUUUCCUUCUCAUCCAUGGUUCAAGCAUCCACCACGUGCGUCUCCAUCUUCAAAGUCUGAAAUUGCCACAACAGAAGCUGAAAUUACCACCAUAGAAGCCGCUAAUAAGGAACCAGAUUGGUGGUUUUCAUGGUAUUAUCAUCGAUGGUUCCAUCCUCGUCCAUGGGCAUUUGCUCAUCCACCCAUGUCUUUUGGCGGUUUCCGUCACAAGUUUCCUUAUCAUCCAUGGCCAAAAUUCAAGCAUCCACCACGUGCCUCCCCUUCUAAGGGAGAGAAGAAUAAUUAAGAAUAUCCAUGGAUCAAUCUCUUAUUGAUCACAUAUAUUUGUGAUCUUUAGAUUAAUUAAUAAUAUCUUUAAAUUAGAUUAGUUAUUUUAGUUUUGAUCUAUUAAUUUUUAAGCAGUUUUUGUUCGUAGGUUUAUUGCUUGAUUCCGCUUAUUCUAAAAUAAAUUUUGAAUUCUUUUAUGUGAAGUAUUUCCACUUUCU